rnacentral:RNase_P_RNA from 1 species
CUGCAAGCAGAGGCUAUCGCAUCUCAAUUUUCCUGAGAUGAGGAAAGUCCGGCCAGCAAAGGGCAUCACACCGGUUAACAGCCGGUCCUGAGACAUUCAGGAAGAUAGUGCCACAGAAAAUAACCGUCUCUACACAGGUAGAGAUAAGGGUGAAAAUGUAAGGUAAGAGCUUACAGGGAUUCCGGGUAACCGGAGUUUCGGGUAAACCUUGUGUGCUGCAAUGCCACGUAGGUUUCGGUUUGUGUUCUUUACACAAGGCAGGCUGCCCGUCUGCCAUUCGCACCGCGAAUACCGGAAUGGGUAGGCAGCUUUGACCAUCGCAGUAAUGCGCUGGCAAGAUAAAUGAUAGCCAUUGUGCCACAAGCACAAUUACAGAAGCCGGCUUACGAUGCUUGCACUUUA